CUCUGUGGUCACUUUCGUAGUCCUGUGGUGGUUAAAAAAAACAACACAAAAAGAGUCCAGCCACACAAGAUCUGCUCCUGAAGCCCAUGCUAGCAGCCUGUGGGCUUUUCUGGAAGCAAAAUAACAUCUCUGAUUUUACAGAUAUAGUUACUAUGCCCCUAUGAGUUGUCCUGAUGUAACUUAAACAUUGCAAAAGGGCCUUUCUCUUUGAAUCUUACUUCUCCAUUGUGCUAUGUAUUUGUGAAGAAAAUAACCAAGCUCAGUUCCCCUUACUUUCCCUCAUCCACACUAAAUUCUGAUCUCAUUUGUAUUAUUAUUAUUAUUAAAAAAAAAAAAAAAAAAAAAAGGUGAAUUCCUCACCUCAUUGUACAUCUGUCCAGCAGGAGAAGGUAUCCCUGUGCUGGGUAGGAACGGCUGAGCCUGGAGACAAGCAUUUUGCUGAGGGCUUAGUCUCGCAGAAACACUUUGGGAUGCUUUGCUGGAACAGCUCUGAAGAAGAUACGUAUGACAAGAAGCUGAAUAAAGAGCUCCUAACUCUGAAGAGUCGUGCACAACACUGAGAGAGCAUGACAAAACAGCACAAACAACUUGGGUCUCCCUGGUGUUGUAUAUAGUUUUCUUUAAAACAAAAUAAACAAGCAAAAAACAAACAAAAUACCCAACUGAUUACAGACUGAGGUAAUUCCUAUGUCCUUUUCUUUACUAGGCUAACAGUUAGAGCACUUGCCUAUAAAUUUUUUUUAAAGACCCCUGCUCACUUUACAACAUGCAUAUUGAUGCAAGCUACCAGAUGCCAGUUUCUUGAGUGAAGCCAUAAAAUAUUUUGUAAGCCUCAAAACACUAAUUCCUGAUAGCAAUACUUAACUGAGAGACGAAGGGACCUAGAUCUUCAGAAAAAGUCAGUUUGUGCCAUUUCAUGUGUAAAUCUCUGUUUUUAAUGGAUUUUCUUAUUCUCUGAGAAACAAAUCAUAAUUUUAGUUCUUUUAUCUAGUCUUUUUUUUUUUUUUUAGUAAAAUUAAUUGAUUGCACUCUGGACAGUUAGAUCACUUACUCUAUUAUUAUCUGCUACAAGUUCAGUAAAUGUUGUCUUUUACCCACCCAACUACAAGGGAUUGAAUGUAGUUGGAACAGACAGCUAGAUAAUUUGAAUAUCCACCUAGCUGGGUUAGUCGAGAUAUUAGUAUUGAUGAUUCUGAAUUUGUUUACCUGUAUUUUGCUUUCACUGGUAUUGAACUUGUGACCUUUUAUAGACUGCUGUAUCUGUUAGUUCUUUUUCAGUCAACUAUUGUGUAAAGUGUCCUUUGUCUUGCCCUUUUUAUAUGUUGUUGACAGUGAGCUGCAUUCUGAAAUAUGAUUGACUAAUCUUCUUUGGGUCACUGACUUGAAUAAAAUCAUGAGCGUAAAUGACAAUCAGCUUGCUAGUGCAAAUAGUGAUUGAGAGAGACAUUGGUUUAACAGAUUCUGAAAUCUGGAUGAAAUACCUGUGUCUGUUGAGAAAGGUUUGGAAAGAGCCAGACUUCAGUGUUGUCCAGUUCUCUAGUCAUCUCUGAGCAAAGCCUAAUAAUUAGAUACAUUAAAACUUAGACAUGAAAGUUUUUGUUCCUAUUCUGUAUGUACAUUUUAGAUCCCUAGCCAGCAAGUGCUGCUUGCGGUUACUGAAGUCCUCUUUUGGAGUGGAAGAGCAAUGGACAUGCAUAAGUGAUCUUAAGAGGAGAGAACUGCUGUUGUAGUCCGGCAAAACCACAGGAGCUGUGCUGCAAACAUGUGACCAAUGAAAUUCUCUAAACAAAUAAUCUUAGCAGCAACUUACCAGGAGUUCUUAGCCUCAAUGUAGCUCUGAGUGAAAUGGAAAGGGAGGUAUGAAGAAAUAUAGAGGUAUGCUGUCUUCUCAACAUUUCCCUUUGAGCUGCCUCAGAACAGUUCCUCACUAGCAUCCUCAUCUCUUAAAUCCCUUUCUGAGAUAGACAGAAACACCCUGUGGCAGUGGUAGGUUACAGGCACUCAAAGUGAGAUCUGCAGGAGGAAGUCUGAGUGCUCCUUUAGUGAAAUGGCCUUGUUGUUUCAUGCAGCGUGAUUUAUUGUUACUUUGUUCACAUGAAAGUCAAAUUCAUUGAGUAAAUUAUAUAAUGUGAGCAUCUCUUACUUCCAUUAUCAUAGGAGCAGAAUGUGCUAAAUUGAGCAAAUCAACCGAAUCAUUACUUAAUCAUGUGUUUAAUUCAUUUUCAUGGAUCUUCACCAUGGGUAUUGGUUACGUCCUUGCAAAUGCACUGCUGUUGUGUUUCCCUAGAAAACACUCUUUCCUCUCCUCAGUAUUCAGUUAAUAGAUAUUACAUGAAUAGAUUUAAAUUAGAUAACUUCACAAGUAGCGAAUUCAGGCUACAGAUAGAUUUGUGUUGUGCUAUUGAAGUUUGUUUAAAGAUCUUUCUCUGGAAACUUGUAUAGAACAAAGAAUUUUGCAGAAGUCAUGAAGAAAUGAGUAAAGUCUGAAAGGUAUUUGUGCUGGAGCUAAUGAAGAUCUUAGUACAGAUCCCUACAAUGGCCACGGAAGAGGGAGUGGUCCAAGGCCAAGAGGUUUAAUUUCAAAUCCCCUCUCUCCCUCUGUUGUUUUUUCAAAGUUAGGAUUUUUCCCUCUUUCUUUCCUUCUCCACUUUUCAGUCCCUUCUUACUUUCUUCCAAUGUGACUCCCAGAUCUCUCUUUAUAACUAACUCCCUCAACUAACUUAGUGAUUGACUUCAAUGGGACUUGAGGAUGUGCUCAAGAGCACUCCUGAAGAAGGAUGCUCUAGUUAAUCAGAACUGAAAUUGUCUGCAAAGUAAAUAACAUUUAUGAUGAGUUUUCAGUUAUUGAAUAAGUGUAAGAACAAUUUCUUCAGGUUUAUUUUGUCACAAGUGACUUUAUUCAUUAAUUGUUCAAGCAACUAGAUAAACCUCUUUCAAGUACAUGGUGUGGAAGAGAAAACCCCACUUAUGUAUUCCUUUAAGAACUCUAGUUUGCAUGCCCCCAGAGCAGUACAUAUACUUUGUAGUGCAGUGUUUAAUAAGUAUAAUGAAAACAUAGUUUUACUUCUUUAUUGAUUUUAUUUCUUUAUGACUAAAUCUAUACUAAAAAUUUAACGUCUAAUGUAGUUUCUGGAGAACUUUUGGCUCCAAUCAGUUAGCCAGGUGGUUCCUGGGAGUUACUGGUAGGUGCUGUCUCAAUACAUAUUCUCCUUCAGUGGAGGGCAAGAGAAGAUAAUGGUGUUACUCAGUUCUGUGGCAGCAGGUGUCAGCAGCAGUCAGAGGUCCUGGGCAGGUUUAGCCCAUAGUAUAGGUACACUAGGCUGCAGAAGGGCACAGAAGAACCCUCAUGUUCUUUGAUUAAGGGACUGUAAUUUUAUCUAAUCAUUAAGCAGGUAAAAGCAGCAAGGCAGCUCCAAGUUGAAUUGUGAAUAAAUAGAGGAAUGCUGCAAACUGUUUUGAAAGUAAGUUGCAUUGACCUAACCCUCAGAGCUCUAAUAGUUCUAGCUGAACAUCAAACUUGUGAAGGGCUUGAAGAAUAUGCCCUAUGAGGAGAGGCUGAACUGGGGCUGUUUAGUCUAGACCUUAUUGCUCUCUUCCAGUAUCUGAAAGGUGCUUACUGUAAGAGCGGAGUUGGUCUCUUCUCACUGAUGACAGGUGACAGGACGAGGGGAAAUGGCCUUAAGUUGUGCCAGGGUAAGUUUAGGUUGGAUAUUAGGAAACUCUUCUUUUCAGAGAAGGUUUUUAAGCACUGGAAUAGGCUCCCCAGGGAGGUGGUUGAGUCAUCAUCCCUGGAUGUGUUUAAAAACCGUUUAGAUGUGGUGCUCAGGGAAAUGAUUUAGCAGAGUGUUGUUAGAGUUAGGAUAGUAUGGUUAGGUCAUGGUUGGACGUGAUGAUCUUUAAGGUCUUUUCCAACCUGAGUGAUUCUGUGAUUCUGUUCUAUGAUUCUAGUACCUGUUUUUCAAAAUGAAAUUGUGUAUUACUGCACUUUGGUCCUUUGCAUUUUUUUUUUUUUUAAUAUGGAAAAUAACUGUAAUAUAUUCCCUCAAUAAAGACAUUUAGCAUCUCAGACAUCAUAUAUAAAUGAUCUUGUUGGUGCCAUUACACGUGAAUUCCACAGCAUAUGAUUGCAUCCCUGUGGUAGCAUACAAAUAAAUAACCUGCGGCAUACGUCAAAUUAUGCCAGGACUAAGACACAGUGAUAGCUUCAUGAAUCAUCAACCACAUGGCUGAAGCCUGUGUAUUCUGGGUAUACUUUGCAGUCUUUGUAGUCUUUCAGGUCUGACAGGCAAUCGAACAGUCAAUCUUUCUGGCCCCUUUGUGCAGGUGGCUGAUUUCACCGCCUUCUUGCACAUCCCUUGAGCCCAUGUUAUUGUCAUUAAAUUUAAGGAAAGCACUGGAGUUGUUUGUUGAAAUGUUUUAUAGGGCUUCUUUUGACCAAAUAAGAUGUCAAAAAUGAAUUUAUCACAGAUUUUUAUUUUUUAUUGUAAUAUUUAGCUUUUGUUUUUGUUUAAAAAAAGCUUACCUUAAAAAAUGAAGACACGGAAAAAAAUGGAUCUCUGCAAUGGCUAGGUUUCAAAAAUUUCUGUGAAAAAUCAGGAGUUUUGUCCUUUUACUAUUUUUUUUUAUCAAAUGUUUUCAUACAGAAGCAAACAAAAUUUUUCUACUCUGCUGACCAUCUGCACAGGGCUAUACUGCUCUAGACCUUGCUUUCCUUGAGGUACAAUGGGAGCAUGGGAGAGUCCAGGUAAACACAGAUGUUUCCUGAUCAUAUCCAGUUGAAGAGCUUCAGCUUGACUGAGUGUGUUUUCUUCCUCUCCAGUAGAAGCCCUGCAAUCACCCUUGGUUAAAUCAGAGAAUGAGACUGUGUAAACCAGUAUCCUCUGUAUAUUCUUUAUUGCCUGUAAUUGACUGAUUUUUUAAAUAGUCCAUUUUGACUAUUUUUUAAAUAUUGACUAUUUUUUAAAUAGUCCAGUGGCAAUGGAUUGUGUCAAACUUUCUCUCCCUGACUAAAACAUGUAAGCUGUGACUUUAAAAAGAAGUAUAUGCGUCAUAUGCUUGGCUGAGUCAAACUAAACCUGUACAAACAAUAUAUAAUUAUAGAUCAAUUGCCAGACUUAUGAACUGCCUGAUACUAUUCAACAUAAUGACAGCUAUAUUUCUGGCAAUGAAAAGCUAAUCCCACAGAAAUAUCAGAUACGAUCCUCCAUGUUUUUCUUACAAGAAAUUAUGUGGAUUUUUUUAGAUCUGGCCUUCUGAAUAGAUCUAACAUACCAGUAUGGUUUGUACUGUACAUUACCUGUUAAUUAUAGUAGACAAGAAUUCAAGUUUGAAAGAGGUAAAAACUGAUAAAUGUAAAAUAAUGUUCUGGCUAAAGAAUUGCAUUCUUCAGUGAGACUGGAGAAAAGAAUCAGCUUUAAUGAUAUAUUAGCAGUGGAGAAACUGCAUACCUUAGAAAGUCAAAUUUUAGAGCAUUUUUUUAUAUUCAAGACGAAAUAUAGAGCCAAGGAACAAGCUAACUAAAUAUACAUCUCUCUAUAUAUAAUGAUAGUUAAGAAUUGGAAUCAUAAAAUUUACCUCAGCUGGAACUAACAUUUCUUAGUCUGAUCUGAAUAGCAAUCAUAGCUAUAACACACUAUUGCAGUGCACUGAAAAUAUGUUAGUUCCCAUCUGGAAAGUUGCAGUGAUUGCACUUUUUAAAAAUUUCCUUCUAACAAGAAGCAAUUUUGCAAUCUCAGCUCUGGCAGAAAUUAUCAAGAUGAAAUGCUUCUUUUACCUUUACUUAAAUGAUACAUUAUGCAAAUUGAAAACAGCAAUUUAAGGAAACAAUUAUAUAAAGAGAACAGCUUUUCUGACUCCUGAACAGGAAAUGUUACGGGAUAAAAAAAGCCAACCCUAAAUGCUGUUGACUUCAAGCUAUUAUAGGAGGAAAAGCUUGAUACCUUUCUUCAUUCAAAGACUUCCUGUUUCAGCAGUUGCCAGUAAAAACUGUCCUUGUGUAAUAUCCCUGAAGCCUUUUAAAACCUGAGAAUAAAUAAGUGAAGUUGUACUCCUACUAAAAAAGUGAGGAUGUUGCUAUUGCUACAUUCUUAAAUAACCUGUAUCGGAAAUGUUCUAGUGUUCUUGCUCCUGCCUUGGAUAUAUGCCUGGAUGUGAGCUCUUAAAGUUCAUUCUUGAGCAAAUAUCGGUUAUAUUUCCUUUAUUCAGAAUCAAACAAAUAAAAAAACAAAUAAACAAAAAAACCAACAACCAGAAAUAAAAAUUAUUUUGAUGGAUUCUUUUAAAAUAUAACUCCAUAUUUUUACUGCUGAUAAUAUUUAGGAUAUUUAUAUAGGAUAUAUAUUUUCCUAGAGGACUCCUGCUACUAUGUCUUUAUUGCAUGAUGUGACAUGCUGACUGGUGCAUUAUAUGCCCCACAAUUUUCUACUCCUGUCCAAACUGUAUUCAGUCUGUCAAGACAGUUUUCUUAGGUAAAGAUGGAAAGGCAAAGAUGAAAAGAAUCUGAAUUACAUGCAAAUAGAUCAAAAUAGUAAUUUUUUUUUUAGUAUCAAAAAGUUAUUUCUGCAAAAGCUUUUCUUAGACUAUGAUGCUCUAAACAUUGCCUUUAACUUUGAACUGCUGCAGCUCAGCUUUACCUCACUGAGGAGAUAUCUGUGACAUGGUGGAGAGGGGUGUGACCAAAGCAGUAUCACCUAUACUGACAAUUCAAAUGAUAUACUUAAUUCUCUUCAAAAGACACAUCUAAUAAUGUUCUUGCCUUUCCUGUUUUGCCAGCCUUCCACCUGUAUGACUUUCUGAAUAAAUGUGUCAGCAUGAGGGUGACACAGAAUGCUGUAAUGGACAGAUGUUACACUAAAGAAUCCCACAACCUGCAGGUGCAUUGACUGAAGCAGUGUGGUCAAAGUCCAAAUUAAUAUGAAUUACUUUGAAGUUGGGUGCAUUAGUGUCAUGUGUUCUUGGAAAUAAGUUUAACUGAUGUAUAAAUAGUGAUUUCUUUUUUUUUUUUUUUUUUUGGUCAAAAUUGUGCUUAUUAUAACAAGAUUUAUUAUUUAGGUUAGUGUCUAUAUUGUCUUUAUUUAUGAUUAGCUGCCAAAUCUUAAUAGAUGCUGAAAGUUGAUUUUACUAUAGAUGCUAACACAUAAUUAUCUUUUCUUUGGUCCUACCCCUCCCUGUUUCCUAAUACUAUAAUUCAUUUUUUCUGCUGUUGGAUUUACCUUUGUAUAGAGCAGUAGCAUGGUAAGCACUGGAAACAUGGUAAAAGAUCUAGUAGUAGAAAGCGUCCUUGGAUUGAAUUAACAUAUGUCAGAUCUCUUUAAAUUUUGUAUGAACACAGGUAGGUCUAUAAUUAAGAUUUUUCAAUUUGCAGACUAAUCUGUGAGAGAUAUCGAGUGAAAGAAACUGAGGCUGAAGACAAAAUUGAACUAAGAAGUUCAGAACAUGAUGUAAAGAUGAUACUUGCCAUUUUUCUGAAGGAAAGAAAAGAAGGAUCAGGAAUCUGAGAUCCAAAAUAUUGUGAACAAAUCUUCAGACAGUGGAAAAAAAACUGUCAGCAUUUGAGGAAGCAUGUAGAGUGCUUUCACAUGAUCAAAGAAGGGCUGAGGAUUUAAGCAAAGUGCUUUGGAUGUCAGAAAAUUAUGGAAUCAUAGAAUGGAUUAGGUUGGAGGGGAUCUUAAAGCCCAUCUAGUUUCAACUCCCUGCCGUGGGCAGGAUUACCACCCAUCGCAUCACACCACAUCAGGCUGCCCAGGGCCCCAUCCGAUGUGGCCUUGGAGGCCUUCAGGAAUGGGGCAUCCACAGCCUCUCUGAGCAACCUAUGCCAGUGCCUCGCUACCAUCUGCGUAAAAAAUUCCUUCCUAACAUCCAAUCUGAAUUUCUGCUUGUUUAGUUUAAAUCCCUUCCCCCUUGUCCCAUGACUAUCAACUGAAUAGGAAAAGAGAAUUACAAGCAGUCAGCCUGAGUUAGAGAUGGAAAGGAGACUAAAACAAAUAGAAGGCUUUUUGCUCAGUAAAUAAUGACAAGAUAAUGAUACUUAACAUAUUGUUUUAAAACAGUAGAAAGAUGAAGAAAUAAAAAAUGGAAAUACUCAGAAUCAAAGAUUGGCUAAUAUGAAUCAAUUAUUAAGAGGAUUCACUAAUUGGGCAAGGGUAAGAAGGAAAGAAAAUUAAUAAAGUAGGUCCAUUAAUUUUUAGGAAGUUAUUGGGUCGUAAAAAGCAGCUGAGAAUUCAGAAUCUCUAAUAAAAUAAAUUAAAUAUAGAGGAUGUUGAGCUCCAUAAAAAUGGUUUGUUUAAAAUUAGCUUUUCUCAUUUCUGUGUUUCCAAUGGAGAAAUCAAGUGGGAUUAAAAAAAAGGAGCAAUGAAGAUAAACAUGAUAUUUUGAAUAUUUAAAGUAGCUUGGGGGCUGUGAGUAAUAAAAUUGUAGAUGUACCUAUUUAGAUUUUAGUAGGAAGAUAUUUUUGCUUGUAUGUGUUCUGCUUCUGAUUGAGAAACUGUUUAAUUGUGCUGGGAUCGUGUGGUACCUGAGCUAAGAGCUCUGCUGGGAUGGGUGAUGCCCAAUGAAAUGGAGGACUGCUAUGGGAGAGUUCCUUGUGGCAUUGCCUCUGUGAACACUCCCUUCUUUAAAAUGUGUCUGAUCCAGAGUGAAUUACACAAAUUAUGAGACCUAUUUGAAACAGGCUGCAUUGAGGUUGACAGUAGGGGAGUGUCUGUGGCAUCUCCUACAGACUUGGCUGGUAACUGGGCACUGAGCUGCAUGGGCUGAAGCAAACAUUUGCAAGAGUAGGAGAGUGCCAGUGCAGAUUUUGGGGGAUGUCGAAGGGAUUUGAACACCUCCAGGUUUUGAGUGUUGUUGAGUGCCAUUAUGUUGGGAAAAACUGAGUUGACUAAGGCCUGUUGUAGGGCCUUCCCACCUCUCCUUGUACAGCUCAGAUCAGUGGUUUACAAUGCAUCAGGAACUGCUAAUGUGACUUCGCAGCAUUCGCUUUGAAACAAACAACAAAUUGUAAGCAGGCUUCAUUUCAUUAGCUGGGGUUGUCUGGCGAGGGAUCAGAACACUGCUGGGGUCAGAAUUAGUGCAAUCAUCUUAGCACCAGUUCCUGCCAGCUGUAACCCCAAGGCCCCAGAGAAGUACCCGUGUAUGGGCAAUUCUGAAGUGAUGACCUUACAGGCUGCUCACUGUUUUUUUGUUUGUUUGUUAUUACUCUGUUUAUCUGUUUGUCUAUAAAUUAUUCUGCAUCUGUAGUGUUCAGUCCUGUGCAGCAGUUCCUGUUGCGCAGUGCCUUGCCAGCCUUCCCCUCUCUGUGCUGUGCACCUGUGUGUCCCGUAUAUGCCUCCAGUGCUCCCAUCAGUCUGUGUUCUCUUUCUUCUCUGCUGUGCUGUGUACACCCUGCAGUCUAAUCAGAUGUAUGCUGAUCAUAGGAAUCUUCAUGUUCUUUUGUUUGAAGCAUCUCAGCAGAGCUCUCUGCUUUUUUCUUCCUGCCUGACAGUUACGCUCAUUGCUUUGUCAUCCCAGUCAGUGGGAGUGCAAGAACUAGCAGCAUCCUGGCAUUCCUGUUGAAGGCACACACUGGAGAGCAUUUUCUGUCACGAUGUUCAAAACAAACAUCUACUGCAAUGCAGCUGUUUGAGCUCUGCUUGCUCUUGCUACUAUUUUUGUUUGCAGUUCAAUACAUUUUCUUAAACCUCUUUUUGUAAGUGCAGAUACAUGCUGCAAGCUAAUAUCUGCUCAGGGAGCUGCCUGCCUUGGCAAACAGGCAUCUGUUUUUCAGUGUGUCAACAGGCAGUUGUUCAAGCAGUGUUUUCUUCCUGUGUUAGUCUGGUCCAAUAUUUGAAUAAUCCUUUUGUUUGCCUUCACCUGAGGAGAUUGUGUGAGAAUCCAGAGUGGUGAGUUUACCGAUGGAUCCACGCAGCCCUGGAUCAGAUUAUUUUUUUAGUUACUCAACCUCUUAUGCUCUAUUAGGUUUAUAUUAAAAUAUUAAUAAUUCCAGAACCAGGAUCAUGCAGUUAAUAUUGUUCCCAUGAGCAAUCUGCUACUCAGUAAAAACUGUUGCUGAUAUCUCAGAGGCAGUAAUUUACCAAUAUUCAUCUUGUUUCCUAUUCCCCUGUACAGCAGCUUGUCUUUAUCUUGUCAGGAGAAAAGCUACUGCUCUGCUGUUUCCCCAGCCAAGAUCAUUUCAAAUUAACGCAUCUUAUUAUAUGCACACCCAGGGCCUCAUCUGUAAUCAUCCUUCAAAACAGCAGUUUGUUCUGUAAUUAACUUGUAACUGUAUGGCUCAUGCUGCAUAUGAAUGGUUCAGUUCUUCCUGCAAAACAAUCUGCUGAUUUGAAAAUGGUCUGAAAUAUAUUUUUAAUUGAGAAUAUUUUUUAUUUUAUCAUUACAAUAGUGAGAGAAUACCUGAAAGGUGCUUAGUUUGUUUUAGCCAAGUUCUAAACCCAGGAAGAUAAAUGUUUGCCUCUUUCACAGAAUGAGACCUGCUAAAAUGGAUCUUUCUGUAUCAUGUCUGGAAGUGUUUUGCUGAACAGAAAUAGCUAUAAGAGUACUUACAAUACUUAGUAUGACUAUAAAUAAGUGCUGCAGUCUGGCAUGGAAUUUAUUAUUAUUACUAUUAUUAUUAUUAUCAUUAUUUAGGAGGCUGUGGCUCCUCCCUUCCUACUACACUUAGUAGUAGGUCAGCUACAGCUACAGUCAACCAGAAAUUGCUGGGAGAUAAGUUUUCACUUCAGGAUGCGUUGCAAUGCCUGGAGUGCUUGAGCAUUUCCCUCUGCACUAAGCUGUAUGUUCUUCUACCCAAAAGAAAAGUUUCUUCCGUCCAGUUUACUCUGGAUCAGCCAGGCACAGAGCACUCUGCUGCAUUCAGCAUUUUGUCUGGGAAGUAUAGGGGAAGGUGCAGGUCACGAGGAGUGAAAAUUAGAGAGGCUUGUGAAGUGCAGGGCACUCUUCCUUCAAUGUAUUGCAUAGGCAGGGCAUGCUGCUGGGCAGCUUUCCCAGGGAAGUUCCUGGUAGAACUUUCUCAGUGGUGGGAAUUCUCUCACAAAGUUUAAAAAGGAUUUGUCCUAAAGAGGAGUAGGAACUUGCAAGGGAAGAGAGGCUUAGAGUACUGCUUAUAGGAGGAAUUUUUGGACUGGGAGGGAGAGGUGGAUAAAAGCAAGGUGUCUUUCUUUUGAAGGAUCUAGAGGCCCUGUACUUCCACAGAAAGAAGGGGAAACAAUUUUCUUGUGUUCACAUUUAUAGGAAUUGAUCUGAUCCUUUGCUUUUGGUGAAAAGUGAGACAGAUGGGAAUUUUUAAUUCUAGGAAUUGUGACACUCAUUGAGUAGACUGGUAGAAGAAAUGAGUAAGGCAUCCCCACUGCUCUCUGCCUUCUUUUCUGACUGGUGUCAUAGCCUUUGUGGGUAGCAUUAUCCUGGGAACAGAGGGAAAGGAUGUUGGGGAAGGAGGGUGGAGGUAAAGCAUGGGUCAGGAGCCUCAGGAAACCCAAGCCUAUUCACAUAGAUAGCUCAGCAGGAUCCAUUCCUCAGAUCUGGAGUGACACCGCUGCGGCUGUGGUAGGCCACCUCUACCCGAACAUGGCUAUUUUGUUUGCGAAGCCCUGGUAUCUUAAGGAGUGCAAACAUCUAGUUUGUCUUUUUGUUUUUCCCUGAGUAUUCACAGUUUGCUCUGGGCACUUGCAGCAUUUGGGAAGAAUAUCACUCUGAUUUGUUGCCUGCAAGAGAGUCUAAUUAAAACAAGAGAGCAGGAUGGGAAGUGAUGACACACAGUGCAGCUGAGCUGAUCCCAAAGCUGAACAUGGCAGCUGCAGUUUUCAUCAUUUGCAAAGCCUCAGCCAACACGUUGGCCCACAGAGUUAAAAUAAAUGUCUAAUUACGUUGUUUAAUCAUUUCAGUUCCAAAUUCGUGCUUGCAAGGAUUGCAAAAGAUAGGAGUGAAACAGCACAAGGGCUGUGAUCGCAGCAGUGGCCUGCCAGUAAAUCUGAAAUCAGGAUGCUUUUUCUGAGUCAGAUUGCUCCCUGCUCCUCACAGUGGUCAAGCUGUAGAGGAAUGACUCUCUGUGCCUGACCAGGCUGCAGCCCUGUCCCCAGCUCUGCCUCACCUGCACUGCUUGGCAGCACCAUGCUAAUUAGGUGUAGAGCAGUGAGCCCUGCAGGUACUGAGAGCAAAGACUGGGAAAGACUUCAAAGGUGUUUACUAGUUUCUUUUUAUUCUUAAUCCUAUAGUGAAGCUAUAAAAGAAAUAUCUAAUCACUGCUGUCCUGAUCCAGCAGUGUGUUAUGUACGGAGAGACACUGCUCUGGCAUAUUUUUGGUUGAGGUGGUUUUGAGUUUCUUUGUGACUUUCUGAGAGGGAGCAAAUGGGAAAAACCUCAUUAGACCUGAUUGUUAAAGGUGGACAGGGGAGAUACCAGUGUCAAGUGGAGGACUGAGAACCUCAUGUUGAAACAGCCUCCUGGGAGUUGAAAUGUGUUAAGUCUAAGUCUAGCCUGGGGCACAGGGAGCACCUUUUGACCCACAGCCUAGGCAAAUUCUCUAGAUUAAAGUGAUGGGGACAACUGGCCCUUAAAUCUCUUCACAGCUCUAGCCCACAGUUGCCAAAAUAUUUGCCAAUAAAAUACAUUAAUAUGUCUAGAUUAAUGGAUCUACUCUGUACAAAUGCACAUUUGUUAAGUUAUU
ensembl:lncRNA